ACUAAGCGGAGGAAAAGAAACUAACAAGGAUUCCCCUAGUWACGGCGAGUGAAGAGGGAAAAGCCCAGCACCGAAUCCCACAGCCUUGCGCUGUCGGGAACUGUGGUGUAUAGGAAGCCUACUUGUCGGCGUGUUCGGGUACCCAAGUCCUCCUGAUCGUGGCCUCUCCCAUAGCGGGUGUCAGGCCCAUACAGGCACCCGACGGCGUCGGCUUGGAGCUUCCUCGGAGUCGGGUUGUUUGGGAAUG
rnacentral:rRNA from 1 species